CAAAAUGAUACCAUAUUACAACUAACAGCAGAAGUGGCAAUGUUAAAAUCUGUUUUAUCGAAAACUGGACCAGGUCUAGCUAUAUACACAAAAAGGUUUCCUCUGACUUCUGAGCAGGACCUAAUUCAGUUAGAGGAAGACAUUACAGAGGACAACAAAGAAGCUAUGAUUGUUAGUUUGAAAAAACUUAUUAUACCUGGAGGAUGGAGCAAAAAUAUGGAGAGACUCAUUGCAACCGAAGUAAGUCUAGAGUAUAAUGUGGAUGAAAAAACAACAAGAAAAGGCUGCGCAAUUUCCCGAAAUGCUUGAACAUACUAUAUGAAGCGACAGUGGUGGAAGGAAAAACAGUUGACGAUUUUUUACAUGACUUGCGGCAUGGACUGCGCUGUGUAAAAAAUAAACACUUCAAGAAAGUGUGCUUAGAAAAUAAGGAUAAA